CCUACGGGUGGCUGCAGUGGGGAAUAUUGGACAAUGGGGGCAACCCUGAUCCAGCCAUGCCGCGUGUGUGAAGAAGGCCCUCGGGUUGUAAAGCACUUUCAGUGAGGAAGAACGCCUGGUGGUUAAUACCCAUCAGGAAAGACAUCACUCACAGAAGAAGCACCGGCUAACUCCGUGCCAGCAGCCGCGGUAAUACGGAGGGUGCGAGCGUUAAUCGGAAUUACUGGGCGUAAAGCGCGCGUAGGUGGCUUGAUAAGCCGGUUGUGAAAGCCCCGGGCUCAACCUGGGAACGGCAUCCGGAACUGUCAAGCUAGAGUGCAGGAGAGGAAGGUAGAAUUCCCGGUGUAGCGGUGAAAUGCGUAGAGAUCGGGAGGAAUGCCAGUGGCGAAGGCGGCCUUCUGGACUGACACUGACACUGAGGUGCGAAAGCGUGGGUAGCAAACAGGAUUAGAUACCCCAGUAGUC
rnacentral:rRNA from 1 species